ACCACCAGUUCCCUUAAGAUCACUGAAGUUAAGCAAUGUCGAGCCUUGUCAGUGCCUAGAUGGUUGACCGAUUGAGAAUACUAGUUGCUGCAAG